rnacentral:rRNA from 1 species
GAUGAACGCUGGCGGCGUGCUUAACACAUGCAAGUCGAACGGACUUUACAUUUUUGAAGCAAUUAGCUUGCUAAGAGUGGAAAUGUUGUAAAGUUAGUGGCGGACGGGUGAGUAACGCGUGGGUAACCUGCCUUAUACCGGGGGAUAACAGUUAGAAAUAGCUGCUAAUACCGCAUAAGCGCACAGUAUCGCAUGAUACAGUGUGGAAAACUCCGGUGGUAUAAGAUGGACCCGCGUCUGAUUAGCCAGUUGGUGAGGUAACGGCUCACCAAAGCGACGAUCAGUAGCCGGCCUGGGAGGGUGAACGGCCACAUUGGGACUGAGACACGGCCCAAACUCCUACGGGAGGCAGCAGUGGGGAAUAUUGGACAAUGGGGGAAACCCUGAUCCAGCGACGCCGCGUGAGUGAAGAAGUAUUUCGGUAUGUAAAGCUCUAUCAGUAGGGAAGAAAAUGACGGUACCUGCAGAAGAAGCACCGGCUAACUACGUGCCAGCCGCCGCCGAAAAAC